UCAAAGAAUUGGGAGAAACAAAACCUACAACUUCAACUUUGAUUAAAUUUUCACCGUAUGGAGGCUGUCAUUGAGUUCACUUGAGCAUCUUCUUUUUCGUCACAAUCAUUAUCUAAUCGAUUUGAUGUUAAGCCAAGCUCACAUACUAGAAGUAAUUGGGUUACUUUUCUUUCUUGUUAGUUUCCCCAUUUUGAUUUAAUCAUACCUUUGGUUGUUUGUCAUUUCUGCUCAUCUAUUUAAAUUUAUUUGGCUGUACAAGGGUUGAAUUUUUCUUUAAGUGUUAUGGUUGAAGGGGUGUUAGUUUCUUAGGUUUGGGUAUUUUGGGGUUCUUCCUGUUGGAAAUUGGUUAGCUUAGGAAACUUUCUCUCCUUCCCCUGUCUUUUAUUCAUCUCAUCAAUAUAUUGCUGCUUAGUAAAACAAAAUCAUCAAAUGUGUUAAUCAUGGAAGAAUGAAACAAUUAAUUAGUAAUUAGGAAAUUGAAAGGUUUAGUUACAUGUUCUCUAUCCAAAGGAUAUUAAACUAAGGGCAUAACUAAAAUAGCCAGUGUGUAGGCUCCAUCAAGUAGAGCU
rnacentral:misc_RNA from 1 species